rnacentral:rRNA from 1 species
UCACAGAUAAACUAAAUAAAACAAUUAAACUAUGUCUUGAAACAUCUAAAAACUUAGUAUUUGAGAAAAAAACUUAGUAAAUUUAACGCUUAAAAGUACUGAAGAGGAACGCAUUAGAUGUUGUUAAAGCAAUUAAAAUAAGUGUACUUUUCGCAUCACGGCCUAGCAAGAGCUCAAUAAGGUUUUAUUUUUCUCGAAAGUCGCGUGAGCUACCUUCCUUCUGGUUUUAGCCAGAGAAUUUAAAAACUCAAAAUGUAGCAAAAUUUUAGGAAGAAAGAAAGGUAGUGAUGAGAUGUCAUUCGCACCGACGAUAGCUAGUUUUCUUAGAAAUGUAUAGGAGUACUAAAAUACUUUUGACCAAUGGUUAAUCACUUAACUUUUGGUUCAAAUUAUUUUACAAUUAUUAAAGGAUAAGCUUUAAUAAAAAUAGGAAGGAUUUGUAUAUAUUUUUGGCUUACAACGUGGGCUUGAAAUUGGCCAGCCUUAGAAGUUUGUUACAAAAUAGUAAAUAAAUAAAAGAAAAUUAUUAUACUAAUUUACCUAAAAAAAUGAGAAUAUAAAAGUGAACUAUAAGCUUUUACAGCCUAUGCUAGGAUGAGUAUUAAAAAACUUGUAUUAAACAUAAUAUUAUCUAAACUUGUGUUCUAGAAAGUUAUUUUUUUAAAAAAUAAAGAGAAGGAACUCGGCAAAAUUAGCUGCUCCGCCUGUUUAUCAAAAACAUGGCUCCCUGAAUAAAAAUAGAUAAGGAGUCGAACCUGCCCAGUGAGAUUUUUAACGGCCGCGGUACUCUGACCGUGCAAAGGUAGCAUAAUCAUUUGCCUUAUAAUUGAAGGCUAGUAUGAAUGGUUUGACGUGAGCAGCACUGUCUCCCCUUUACUUCUUAGAACUUGACUUAUAGGUGAAGAGGCCUAUAUGAUAUUGAAGGACAAGAAGACCCUGUCGAGCUUUAAGAAAAAUCAGAAUGUGUUAUGAAAACAGAUUUUAAACUGCGAUACUCUUUUGGUUGGGGCGACUAAGGAACAGAACAAGCUUCCUUUCGUAUUUUUAUACUUAUUAGUUUUGAUCCAGUAAACUGAUUAAAGGAAUUAGUUACCGCAGGGAUAACAGCAUAAUCUCCCUUGAGAGACCACAUCGAAAGGGGGGGUUGUGACCUCGAUGUUGGACUAGGGUAUCCGGAAGGUGUAGAAGCCUUCAAUGGUUGGUCUGUUCGACCAUUAAAAUCCUACAUGAUCUGAGUUC